UCCAGUCCUGUGUCAAAAUGGAAUCCAAAGCCUGGAGGGAGCCUCUGUAAUUUCCUGGUGGCCAGCUCCUCUCUGCUCUCUGACACACGGCUCACGCCUCCUGAUCGGUCACACAGUUUGGUCUGUGGCUCUCAGGGUUUCAUGGAACACUGAUGCAGUGAGCAAACAUCCUAAGUUUUAUUUUCAGCAGCCAUUCAACACUUUAAAUGUGUGUUCCAGCACCCAUUAGAAGGACAUUCAAGGCUGCACAGUGUUUUGGAGACUCUUUGGCUUUCAGUCAAGUGCUCUAUCUGGAGAUCAAACAGGAUUGAAGUGGAACCAGGCAGCUGCACCAGCUCCAUAUCAUCAAGUUCAAGUUCAUGGUGCUGCUUAGAAUCUUCUGUUCAGCUCAGACAGUUUCUAUUCAGGUUCCCACUGCUCUCGUGCCCCAUGCAACUGAGAGGUAUGACUUUUUCAUUGCCUAAAAGAAGAUUCUCCAUCAAAGCUACAGUUCUCUUACUGUGAAAAGGACAUGGAGUUUUUUUAGUUGGAAUUUAAUCUCAACUCAGCUUGGAUACUUCUUUGUAAAGAAUUACAGGAAACAAACCUAAUUAGGAUUUGUCAGCCCAGCGAGUUUCCCGUGAUGCCAACUCUCUGAAGUGCGUCAUUAUCGGCGGUGCUGCCUCGCCAGGAAGGAGUUUGUUUGCUGCACGUGAACUGGCAGCUUCCUUCACAGAUUCUGCACUGCUCCUCACUGUUCUGCCAGCUCAAAGUCAGCAUGCAGUCCCUCAACUCUGAUCAUGCCCUGACACUUCACCAGAUCCGGGAACAACAAGGAGUUGUUGCCCAGCACUGAUUAUUUAGCUGGCCAGAUGAGACAUCAAAAGGAUUUCAGCACAGGAGAGACACCAGCUGCGGUCUUGGCACACAAAGGGAGGUUUUCCCCAGCCUUACCUCUUCUGCAAAGAUUACAAACACUCAGAUCUGAAAUUUAGGAUAAUUUGAGCCCAAAUGGCAGGAGAGAACACACUGCUUUCAGUAUUUACGAAGCUACAAGUUUCUACUCUUAUUUUUCUCUUACAGGAGCAGAGCCUCUUUGCUUACCUGGUAAUUUGGAGCGUGGAAAUUUGUAACACAC